CUAGGAAGGCUGUGAAGAGCCUCGCUGGCCCCAGGAAGAGGUUUCAGGGAGGAUAUUCCUAGCAGCUGCCUAAACCACUGGUUUCGGGGAUCCUCCCUGCUUCUCCUCUGCUCAGCACUGGCUGCCCAUAUGUGCUUUUCCUUGGUGGAAUGGGAAGACACCUCUGGACAAGCUGAUGAGCUCCCAGACCCAUCAUUUCAGAUCCAUACGGACUGUAGCCUGCCAGGCUCCUCUGUCCAGGGGACUCUCCAGGCAAGAAUACUGGAAUGGGUUGCCAUGCCUCCUCCAGGGGAUCAUCCCCAUCCAGCGAUCGAACCCAUGUCUCAUGUCUCCAGCAUUGGCAGGUUGGCAAGGUCAUCAGUGAUCUCUCUGACAGUCUCUCAUCCCCACUGUGUUCCUGGUACAGGAAGGACAGUGAGCACACUUUAUGGAACAGACGGAGCUGAGGGAGUCUGGAUCCCACUGCUCUCUCCUUCCACUCUCCAGUCGCCUGCUAUUGGCUAAAGUCAACCAGAAGCCAGAGACGACGAAACCAA
ensembl:lncRNA